rnacentral:rRNA from 1 species
UGGGGAAUUUUGGACAAUGGGCGAAAGCCUGAUCCAGCAAUGCCGCGUGUGUGAAGAAGGCCUUCGGGUUGUAAAGCACUUUUGUCCGGAAAGAAAUCCUUGGCUCUAAUACAGUCGGGGGAUGACGGUACCGGAAGAAUAAGCACCGGCUAACUACGUGCCAGCAGCCGCGGUAAUACGUAGGGUGCAAGCGUUAAUCGGAAUUACUGGGCGUAAAGCGUGCGCAGGCGGUUUGCUAAGACCGAUGUGAAAUCCCCGGGCUCAACCUGGGAACUGCAUUGGUGACUGGCAGGCUAGAGUAUGGCAGAGGGGGGUAGAAUUCCACGUGUAGCAGUGAAAUGCGUAGAGAUGUGGAGGAAUACCGAUGGCGAAGGCAGCCCCCUGGGCCAAUACUGACGCUCAUGCACGAAAGCGUGGGGAGCAAACAGGAUUAGAUACCCUGGUAGUCCACGCCCUAAACGAUGUCAACUAGUUGUUGGGGAUUCAUUUCCUUAGUAACGUAGCUAACGCGUGAAGUUGACCGCCUGGGGAGUACGGUCGCAAGAUUAAAACUCAAAUGGAAUUGAC